GGGCGAUUAGCUCAGUUGGUUCAGAGCAUCUGCCUUACAAGCAGGGGGUCACUGGUUCGAAUCCAGUAUCGCCCA
rnacentral:tRNA from 1 species